rnacentral:rRNA from 1 species
UACGUAUGUGGCAAGCGUUGUUCGGAUUUAUUGGGCGUAAAGGGCACGCAGGCUGCCUUGUAAGUUUGCGGUUUAAUCAUCAGGCUCAACCUGAUGCAUGCCGUGAAUACUGCAGGGCUUGAGUACCAGAGGGGAUAGCGGAAUUCUCGGUGUAGCGGUGGAAUGCGUAGAUAUCGAGAGGAACACAAGUGGCGAAGGCGGCUAUCUGGCUGGAGACUGACGCUCAUGUGCGAAAGUGUGGGGAGCAAACAGG